UCAAGGAAAAAGGUUCAGGCGAGAUUGUCUUCAAGGCAAUGGGAAGAGCUAUAAACAAAACAGUGAUGAUUGUGGAGCUAAUUAAGCUAAUAUUUUUUGACAUAUAUCUUAAUGAUCAUUUUGAUCCCUGAGAAGUUGGAAACUUUUGUCUUGAGUCCUUCCCCACUUCCUUGUAUUUUCUGUGCAAAGUUAUGCCCGUUGCAAAAUGACCAUUGUACAUAAAUAUGUUGAUGGUGCAGAGAAGGAUUGUGGGUCUUCAUCAAAUUACUGCUAUUGGUGUAGAGAAGGAUUGUGCAAAGAAGGAUUGUGGGCAUAUGAGAAAGUGGUUAUGGUUGUGGUAAGGGGCAUGUCCGAACCGUAUCCGAACCGAAUGCACCCCUAGACACAGGUCAUGGAUAGAAAAAUGAAAUUCAACCGGCUUCAAUAAACUCUGAUCUACUUUCUCGAGAAUCAGAGAGCAUCUCUCUUCUUCUGAGUUUGCUUGCUGAGGAUGAUUUCUAUGUUAGAUACCAUACACUUCAGCUUCUUACAGCUCUUCUUACACAUUCCCCUAGCAGGUUACAAGAAGCGAUUCUUUCUAUUCCUCAUGGUAUUUAUGGAUAUGCUUAUGGAUCGUGAGGUUUGCAUUUG